rnacentral:rRNA from 1 species
CGUGUAGGCGGCCGACUAAGUCUGAUGUGAAAUACCCGCUUUUAAGGUGGGUCGUGCAUUGGAAACUGGAUGGCUAGAGUGCGGAAGAGGUAAGUGGAAUUCCCAGUGUAGCGGUGAAAUGCGUAGAGAUUGGGAGGAACACCAGUGGCGAAGGCGACUUACUGGGCCGCAACUGACGCUGAGGCGCGAAAGCGUGGGGAGCAAACA